UACGUAGGGCGCAAGCGUUAGGCGGAAUCACUGGGCUUAAAGCGCGCGCAGGCGGUCCUUUAAGUCUGAUGUGAAAGCCCACGGCUCAACCGUGGAGGGUCAUUGGAAACUGGGGGGACUUGAGUGCAGAAGAGGAAAGCGGAAUUCCACGUGUAGCGGUGAAAUGCGUAGAGAUGUGGAGGAACACCAGUGGCGAAGGCGGCUUUCUGGUCUGUAACUGACGCUGAGGCGCGAAAGCGUGGGGAGCAAACAGG
rnacentral:rRNA from 1 species